AGAAGCCCUGUGCAACAGAUUGGAGAUGCCACAACCAAGCCCAUAUACUUUGUUGUUAACACUUUACUUUGAAAGUCUGAGGAAAGGUAUUGAAUCUCCAUCCAGGAAUUUGGCACAUGGUGGAGCAGUGCUGUUUCAAGAUUCAUUUACAAGGGGAAUGUUGGAGAGUUUGGCUUCUCUAGUUCUUUUCCACAGACUUCUUCCUGGAGCUAUUCCAAGCUUGGCCACAGGCAUGACCAAGGGUAUGCAUCUCACAAGAGUACAAAUUGUUGCAGGUCUUCAAGGUGACAGCAAAGCUGGCGCAGACUUGAAUGUGCCUCUGCACCUUAACAAAGCAGCCAUCAAGACCUGAUUCUGUCUUCCUUGGCACAAUGGCUUCAGGAAAUGCAGUGGAACAUGGAUUCAUACAGAUGUUCCUGUACUUGUACAGGUUGAUCAGCACCAUUACAAAACAAGAGAUGGACACAGAGGAAAAGCAGGAACCAAC
ensembl:lncRNA